rnacentral:rRNA from 1 species
AUGAACGCUGGCGGCGUGCCUAAUACCUGCCAGUCGAGCGAACAGACGAGGAGCUUGCUCCUCUGACGUUAGCGGCGGACGGGUCAGUAACACGUGGAUAACCUACCUAUAAGACUGGGAUAACUUCGGGAAACCGGAGCUAAUACCGGAUAAUAUAUUGAACCGCAUGGUUCAAUAGUGAAAGACGGUUUUGCUGUCACUUAUAGAUGGAUCCGCGCCGCAUUAGCUAGUUGGUAAGGUAACGGCUUACCAAGGCAACGAUGCGUAGCCGACCUGAGAGGGUGAUCGGCCACACUGGAACUGAGACACGGUCCAGACUCCUACGGGAGGCAGCAGUAGGGAAUCUUCCGCAAUGGGCGAAAGCCUGACGGAGCAACGCCGCGUGAGUGAUGAAGGUCUUCGGAUCGUAAAACUCUGUUAUUAGGGAAGAACAAAUGUGUAAGUAACUAUGCACGUCUUGACGGUACCUAAUCAGAAAGCCACGGCUAACUACGUG